rnacentral:lncRNA from 14 species
UGAGCACCCAGCAGAACUCAUGGCUGCUCUUGGUGGUUGUCUGAAGCAAGCCCUGAAGCCAAGGUCAGCAGCAACAUUUCAUCUGACUCUGUGGGAUGUAUUUCUGUCAGGAGUUUCCCACUUGUAAAAUCUGUGGCUGGAGCAAAGAUACAAAUAGGAGAGUGUUCAGUCAGAACAAGAAGGCAGACAGAGAAGACACUAAAAUACAAGACAGCGUGGAGAAACAAGGGGUUUUAAAAUUGUUUCCCUCAGUAAGAGACUAUAAGAAUGAAUGGACAUAUAUCAAACACCCCUCCUGGUGGAUAUGGAAGUUAUUUUCCUCAAAUGAAUGGCUAUGGUUCCCCAACAUUUGCCCAGUCAGAGAGGGAGCAGAAUUCAAGAACAAGUGCAAAAGCUCUUUAUGGUAAGGCGGCAUGAA